UCUUUCUGCGCGAAGAAGUAGAGGAGAGAUUAAAUGAACAUCUUCUAAUUAGCUCCAGUUUCUAUCAGAUUGAACUUACAAAUAAAAGAAAUUUGAUUUUGGCGGUUGAUUGAUUGAUACUGGACGACAAUUUGGUGGUCGAUAUUGGACGACAUACACGACAAAACAUACAUGUUAUAAAAUUAUAACAUGUAUAAUGUACAAAGGAGAUCGCAAAACUGGGACUCGUAAUUACACUUAAUAAACUAGAUAUAGUAUACAUAACAGAAAAAAAUCAUUUACUUGUAUGAGAAAUAAAAUAUCAGCUCUAGAAAAUAACUUUUAACACUCAGAAUACCAGCGUCUAAUUUAGACAAUAUAUACGUUACCGUGUAAAGUGUAAAUGACGCGUCCUUUUAUUGUUGUCUAAUUAGACAUGCAGACUGAUGUUGCUCGUUGAUCGAUGUAACACUUACAUAUUUGCUAUAUGUAUGAAUAUACAUGUGCGUUAGAUAAGGACACAGUAGGCCUGUAGGCGUUCUCUUUCUAUUCCUAUGUCGCUUUCUUAGCUCGCUCACGCGCUCUAUCUUCAUAUCUCUAUGUAUGUUACACAGAAUUGUUAUAUUCAUUUGUUUAUUCAAAUAAAAGUGGUAAUAUUUGGUGAAAAAAAACCAGAACUAAUUUUGGUCGAUUGUCUGUAGCACUCGCUACUGCACGACUCUCGUCUUGCUAAUUAGAAAAUAAACAGAAAUAUUCUCACGAAGUUUGUCCGAAGUCGGUCCAAUUCGCGAACAAAGGACGGUGAUGAAACACGCGGCCAACGUCAACGGAGAUCCUCCUUUGUCUCGAGCAAGGUAAUUACUUCAUCGCCUCCCGUAUUUCGUAUGCCAGCCGUUAUGUAAAUUAAAAUUUUGCAAGCGUGCACAAUUGCCGGGACGCGGCUUGCAUUACGCGCUUCACGGUUUGUACGACUUUCAAGGCAUUUCAAGGCACGUGCAAUCCGUUUUGUCAAAAUUGCAAGGACUUUCCAUACGCGUGUAGCAACGUGUCUUUGCCGAAGACAUCUGCUACUGCGAUGCUCUUGUAACCCUUCAUAGCGGUGGUCAUCUCGCAGUUCCGCCGUGGCUUUUGUAUGUGUAGCACGCGUUAUUUCUUGUUUCUUCCAAUAAAGUAUUUUUACAUAAUGGUUAUGUUGAGUCAUGGAUACAAAAGCGUCCGCGCCUGUGCGAACUGUGUGACGCAAGAGAAGGAAGAUAUGUGAAUGGUACGAGAUGACGUGAUCGACGUGCGUGUGUGAAUAUGUGCGAAGGAAGAUGCUGAAGGGGCGGUUUUCCACCCAAGUAGGCACAGUGGCACCUUCGUUGGCGUCGUGUCCUGAUGAUCUUUUGACAAUUUGGUUUUAUUUGACAAUAUGAGAUAUAUUUUGCUCCUUGUGGAUU